GGGCCUUUAGCUCAGCCUGGUUAGAGCUGUCGGCUCAUAACCGAUUGGUCCGCGGUUCGAAUCCGUGAAGGCCCACCA
rnacentral:tRNA from 2 species